CGGACGGGUGAGUAACGCGUGAGAAUCUGGCUUUAGGUUCGGGACAACAGUGGGAAACUGCUGCUAAUACCGGAUGUGCCGUAAGGUGAAAGAUUAAUUGCCUGAAGAUGAGCUCGCGUCCGAUUAGCUAGUUGGCGGAGUAAAAGCCCACCAAGGCGACGAUCGGUAGCUGGUCUGAGAGGACGAUCAGCCACACUGGGACUGAGACACGGCCCAGACUCCUACGGGAGGCAGCAGUGGGGAAUUUUCCGCAAUGGGCGAAAGCCUGACGGAGCAAGACCGCGUGAGGGAGGAAGGCUCUUGGGUUGUAAACCUCUUUUCUUGGGGAAGAACGCAAUGACGGUACCCAAGGAAUCAGCAUCGGCUAACUCCGUGCCAGCAGCCGCGGUAAUACGGAGGAUGCAAGCGUUAUCCGGAAUUAUUGGGCGUAAAGCGUCCGCAGGUGGCAAUUCAAGUCUGCUGUUAAAGGUUCUGGCUCAACCAGAAACAGGCAGUGGAAACUGAAUAGCUAGAGUGCGGUAGGGGCAGAGGGAAUUCCCAGUGUAGCGGUGAAAUGCGUAGAGAUUGGGAAGAACACCGGUGGCGAAAGCGCUCUGCUAGGCCGUAACUGACACUCAUGGACGAAAGCUAGGGGAGCGAAUGGGAUUAGAUACCCCAGUAGUC
rnacentral:rRNA from 1 species